GAUAGAACGCUGGCGGCGUGGCCUAAUACAUGCAAGUCGGACGGAGACCUUCGGGUCUAGGUGGCGCACGGGUGCGUAACGCGUGGGAAUCUGCCCUUGGGUUCGGAAUAACUCGCCGAAAGGCGUGCUAAUACCGGAUGAUGUCGUAAGACCAAAGAUUUAUCGCCCAGGGAUGAGCCCGCGUAAGAUUAGGUAGUUGGUGAGGUAAAGGCUCACCAAGCCGACGAUCUUUAGCUGGUCUGAGAGGAUGAUCAGCCACACUGGGACUGAGACACGGCCCAG
rnacentral:rRNA from 1 species